UAAGUAAUCGAGAAACGACUAAAAAAACGACC
rnacentral:piRNA from 1 species